GCAGGAUUAGUGUUAGCGGCUAGCACGUCUGCCUUCCAAGCAGAAAGGGCCGGUUCGAAUCCGGUAUCUUGCUCCA
rnacentral:tRNA from 1 species